rnacentral:rRNA from 1 species
GAUGAACGCUAGCGAUAGGCUUAACACAUGCAAGUCGAGGGGCAGCACAAGGUAGCUUGCUAUCUGGGUGGCGACCGGCGCACGGGUGCGUAACGCGUAUGCAACUUGCCCUAUACAGGAGGAUAACCCGUCGAAAGACGGACUAAUACUGCGUAUGCUCACAACUUGGCAUCAAGUGGUGAGGAAAGAAAUUCGGUAUAGGAUAGGCAUGCGUCCCAUUAGCUUGUUGGUGAGGUAACGGCUCACCAAGGCAACGAUGGGUAGGGGAACUGAGAGGUUUAUCCCCCACACUGGUACUGAGACACGGACCAGACUCCUACGGGAGGCAGCAGUGAGGAAGAUUGGUCAAUGGGCGCGAGCCUGAACCAGCCAAGUCGCGUGAAGGAUGACUGCCUUAUGGAUUGUAAACUUCUUUUAUACGGGAAUAACAAGAGUCACGUGUGACUCCCUGCAUGUACCGUAUGAAUAAGCAUCGGCUAACUCCGUG